GCAGUGCGAGUUCAGCCCGCUUUCUUCGCGCUCCGCGUCAAAUCUCUCCAGCUCUGUUCUCGCAUCCCGGUUCGUAAACUUGCCCAGCCCGGGACCCUUUUGUUGCCAAAUCUGCCUCGGUCUGCCCAACUCCUCCUGCGAAAUUUUACACUCAGUAUGCAGGAAGCCUCGCUCAAAAUCUGACACUCCUCCACGCCCUUGGUCCCCAAAUCCAUUCCUUCUCUUUGUUUUCCAACCCGAGAACCCCUCGUUUUCCCCGCUCAGCCUUCCCCACCCCGCUUGUCCCCCGCACACAGCAGGGCCGCUCCGAGACUUGUCCACUCAGCAAGAGCAGAGCUGAGAAUCAGCCAGGGACGCCAGCUGAAGGCCCUUCUCCCAAAUUAAGGAAAUAAUUGUUGAGGGCUUAACUUCACGCCCCUCCCCGCCUUCCUAAGUAAAAUGUGUACAAGGAGUGAGUCUGAGUCUCAGCCGCUGUCCCUUAAUUUGGUUAUCAUGGCUAUUUUCAGCCUAUUAGGGCAAUGCAAAGGGUACAGUGUGGAUUUUUUCCAGCUUUAAAAUUUAUUUUGGCCAGGGUUUAGAUCCCGCAGAGUUAAGUAUCCCGCGUGUGAAGGGAUGAACUGAGACUCCCAGAGGGCAUAACUGAUGGAGGCACGAAGAUGUCUGCUCUUCAGCUUUGCCAAGGUGAUAUUAAAAUGAGAGUGGGGGAAGUAUAAUGGGUCCAUACAUCACUUGCCUGAUUUCUUCUUUUCCAUUGCUUUUCCAAAGGUAGUAUGGUGUAAGGGGCUUUGGGGAAUCCAGACAGACCUGGACUUCACACGCCCGUCAUUUAUUUCACUACUAGUGAAAUGCUGGCGUAGUUACGCCUAAGUUCUCUGAGACUGUCCCUCAUCUCUAAAACCACCCCUCCUCUGGUGAACUAAGGAUGGCGAUAACGCUUUAUGUAAAGUGCCUGGCCAGAUACUCAAUAAAUGUUAAUUUUCCAAGCUUAUACAUGCAUCAGUCACUAAGUUCUCCAAACAUUUCCAUAUCCUGGAGAAAGUUUCUCUCAAUUAUUUGGAAGAGUGGAAGUGAUAUGCCCCGCCCCAAAAAAAUCCAUUUCCUCCAUUCUUCAUACCAUUAAUGCCUUCUAUUUAUGGUUUUGCUUAAUAGUUAUAACCCCUGCCACCCAGCCAACAAAACAGAACAACAGCAACAAAAAACUCUGCCUACAUCUCUGUGCUUCCAAAUUGUUUAUGCAUAUGCUUAGAAGAACAUUUAUUGAAUUGGAUUUCAAGUACUUGUUCUGUGUCUCUCUCGUCAAACUGUAAACUCUCAGUCUGACUCAUCUUUCUAAUUUCAGGGCUUAGCAAGUUAUUCAACAACUAGAAAGUUUAAAUUCAGGUUGAAUGGAUGAAUGAAGACAGAAUAAUCAUUUCUGUUUACAAGGGAACCAUACCUUUUUACAUAGACAAAUGCUUGUAAAGGUAUUUGAUCCUGAUUUAUGUUUGUCUCCAUUUUCUACUUCAGAUGGGCCACCUGUUUUAAAUCCAAAAGCUGGUAGGAGUUUCAGGUACACUGCAUUUGCUUCUGCUGUCCUAUUGCACUUGGACUUGGUGCAGCUAUGACCUAAUGCAGAAGACAAAGUAUGAAGCUACCAAACUGUCAGGGCCAGAACUAAGGUGAGGCAAGAAAGCUACUUGCUUGGGGCACAAAUUUAAGAAGAGGUGCCAAAAAACUGAAUAAUCAAAUAAAUAACAUUUUAAUGCAAUAUUUUUAAAAAUAAAAAUUAAUGCAAAAAAAAUUCACAGUGAACAAAAUACCAAACUCUUAAACAAAAACAGGAUCCCACAGUGCCAUGUAAGCCAUAUUAGAGCCUGAUGCAAAAAGAAAAAACAAUGCGCAGCACUAAAUACAUGCUUUUUAUGGUUUUGUUAGUUUGUUUUUUGAAACGGGGUUUCUCUGCUGUUGCCCAGGCUGGAGUGCAGUGACAUGCUUUCGGCUCACUACAACUUCUGCCUCCUGGGCUCAAGCCAAUUUCCUACCUCAGCCUCCUGAGUAGCUGAGACUAUAGCUACACCACAACACCCAGCUAAUUUUUGUAUUUUUAGUAGAGACAGGGUUUCACCAUGUUGGUCAGGCUGGUCUUGAACUCCUGACCUCAAGUGACCCACCUGCCUCAGCCUCCCAAAGUGCUGGGAUUAUAGGCAUGAGCCACCGCGUCUGGCCAGGUGGAAGACUUGCUUCUCCCAUGUGGCUGGGCUUACAGCUUCUGCCAUGCGCUCUCAGCACCUCUUUUCCAGGCUGCUAAGCCCUGCCACUUCCUACCUUGCAAAGUGCCAUCAGGUUGCCAUCCCCUGCUGCACUAGCCCAGGCCCCUCUGGAGAGGUGGCUUUGGCUCAGGCUCCACUUUUCUCCCCAGCAUGGUAUGAGGCAUGUGGUAGAGGUUGGGGGAGCAAUGCAGGUAGGCAGGACCCAGGAGAGCCCUUUCCUGGGCUGGGGCUUCCUAUUGCCCUUCCCCCACCCCCUGCCACCCUGCCCCCAAUACUGGCUGGAAAAGGGGUAGGUAGGAAGAGAGAGUCCAGAAUUUGGCUAUUCACAUCCCCAGGGCUAAGCUUGGGUGGAAGAAACAGUCCCUCCAAGUUUGCUCAUUGUUUUGGAAGCUGGUUUCUAAAGAGUUUCACUAAAAUAGUAUUUGCUUAUCAUUUUAAUUUCUAUGGUAGAUCAGAAAGCAGAAGGUUUUAAGGCCAGGCGUGAUAGCUCACGCCUGUAAUCCCAACACCUUGGGAGGCCAAGGUAGGCAGAUUGCUUGAGUCCAGGAGUUCCAGACCACACUGGAGAGACCCUGUGUCUGCAAAAAAAAAAAAAAAAAAAAAGCCAGGCAUGGUGGUGCAUGCCUAUAGUCCCAGCUACUCAGGAGGCUGAGGUGGGAGGAUAGCUUGAGCCUAGGAGGUCGAGGCCGCAGUGAACCGUGAUCGUGCCACUGAACUCCAGCCUGGGCGACAUAAUGAGACCCUGUCUCUAAAUAAAUAAAUAAAUGUUUUUUAAAAAGAAAUCAGAAGGUUCUAACAGAAGGGUUCAGAUGUAGAAUUUUUUUUUUAAAAAAAAGGUUUCUCCUUUUCUCAGGAGUAGAGAGGGACAAUGCUUGAGAAAUACACAGUCUUACGUGUUUCCUUUAGAACCCCAGUGGCAUCUUAUUUAUGAUGAGUAGCUCCUAGCAACAACACCCUACCUCUUGGUAAUCAAUCGUAGUUUCAUCGGCUUUGAGGUUCCCACUGGCUGUUUAGGUAAAUCCUUCAGACAUUAACUCCUAUCAAGUACAAGCAUCCGGGCUCAGGACUGUGAGAGAUCAAGCUGAACACAGUGCCAUACCUGCCCUUGAGAAAGUGACAGACACUCCCUAACGGUUUGGUUGGGGAGAGGCAAAUUCAAAUGGCCCUGGAGACUCAUUUUCUCACCUGUUUUCAUGGUUUAGCAACUCGCUGCCUCAGCAGAUCUGAGUUAGCUUGGAGGCAAAACAGGAUGCUCUAGAAGUUCCUACUAAAUGGCAGCCUAGAGGUGCCCCGAAUCCCCGGCUUCCACCUCAGCAUUUGUAAAACAGAGUUUAAGAUCCUUCUGUAUCGAACUCUGCGAGAUGAACCCAGCCUAGGCACAUUUCUCAGCGGGACAGGGAAGCUGGGGGCUGGGAUGGAUGGUGGGAUGGGGAAAUGGGGUUGCUUACAUGCUCCUCCUUCUCUGCUUGUAUCCCCCUCCCCCACCCAAGUUGUAUUUAUACCACAUGGCAUUGGUAGUGUGUGUCUGUGGCCCCUGAAAGGCAGUCGCACGCAUGAAGGUUAAACUCCACUUUGCCUCGGUGCUAAGUGUUUUUGGAACUGCCCAUUGUCCAACUGGGCCUUCCCAGGGACAAAAGCAUUCUCUCCCAGGGGGCCCUGUCACCCAAGCCCCAGUGUCAGCAAUCCUGGUUGUGCUGAGGCAGCCCUCGCAUUUGGGAACCCAGAAGAUAAAAGGGUGGGAGGAUCAUGGUGGGACUGCUGGGCACUAAUUCCCCCAAACAAGUGUGACACCCAAGGAAAACCCUGGGCCGCAAGACUGCCAGUGAUUGGUAAAAAGGAGACCCGCCCCUGUGGAGCCCAGGAAUAUUCAGGAGAAUUACGCUUUAUGGCUGAAAACAGGGAGAAGGAUAAAAUUGCAGGGAUGAGUGGAGAUUAGGGGCUGCUACUGCUACUCACUCAGAAAAGCAGCCAGGCUGAUGGGGUGACACAAAAAUCUGGAAUGGAUUUAGCUGCUCUUAUGCAGCAAAACCACAGACAAACUCACGGCUAACGGGAAGCCUGGACCAGAUAUAAGAGAUUUAUAGGCACAGUUCCAGCAGCUAUACACACUAAGUUCUAGGACUUGGUUCCCUGCUCCUUCCUUAAGGGAUACUUUAAAUAUUUCUGAAUUUGCCCAACCAAUGUCUGGUUUCUUUGUUUUUGUCUGUGACAUGUCUCUUGCUUUUUUGCAGCCUGUAUAAUUGAUAGGAACCUUCUGGGUGCAUGAUGAGUGGAUCUUCUGAUAAGAUACAUUUAAAGUGUCCCCUGUUGGUGGCUUCUAAUAUGGGGCUAAGGAUGUGACCAAGAAUGGCCUGUAAUCCUGAAGCCUGCCAAGAUUGCAUCAUUGAAACAAUGCUUCCUACCAGGUGGAGAGAAAAUGCAGUAUUCUUAUCUGAGACGUAAUAGAGGCCAGAGUGCUGAACAACACUAUCCACCAGUUCCGUAGCCCCAUAGGGCUGGGGAAGCCACUGGUAUAUGGAACCUUACUGUACCCUGUUGAGGCUUAAACAUGUCAGUGGCCACUAUUCUUAUAGUGUCUGAUAUCAUGAGUGGCUGAACUAGAAUUGUGCCAUUAGUGGUACUUGGCAUGCAGGCUUGGAUAGAUUAAUGCUGGGGUUUGUUUUUUGUUUUGUUUUGUUUUUGUUUUUAAAGACAAGGUCUGGCUCAGUUGUCUAGGCUGGUCUCUAUCUCCUGGACUCAAGCGAUCCUCACACCCCAGCCUUCUGAGUAGCUAGAACUACAGGCUUGUGCCACCACAUCCAGCUAAUGCUUAAAAAAAAAAAGAAAAAAUACUCUUUAUACCUUUUCUACCCUUCUCCAUGCCCUAGGAGGCUGAUCUUUAGGUACUCCUUCACCUGGGCUUCUUUGUUAUCUGGCUUCUGGAAGAGAAAGCCAGAUAACAAAGAGAGAACAAUGGCAGAGAAAAGUGACAUUCAGGUAUUUAUACAUCUCCACCUCCUGGGAUUUUGGUUGGGGCUGUGUUCCUCGGUGGAGACAGCUCCUGUCAGCGCCCUCUUUCCUACCUCCAGCUCACUCAGCUCUGAUGAUACUGUUCCCUCCCUCCAGCUGCUAGAACUGUGCCUCUUGCUUUUUCAGGGUUGGUAACGGCUUCCCUCCCCCACCCCAUUACUAAUCCCUGGGCACCUCACUGUCCCGCAUUGGUUCCCUUAUCUGGUUCAUAACUCUCUUAGUAUUGUCCCCACUGAAUUCUGUUUAGUUAUGUUCCUUUGCAUGUUUUGUCUGUUUCUUGAGAGGUCUCUGACUGAUAUCACUUGCCCUUAUCCACCAAGGCAAGCAGUACUGUAACAAACUCCCCAGGAGUACAUUGUACAUUGUCAGAGAGCUGAACAAAUGCUGACAAAAUGAGAACUGCUGGUUGGGGCCAAACAUUCCACUCUCUCGAUGACCUCACCACCGAAUGUACUACAUGAACUCCACUGCAUUCCAGCUUAGAAAAGCUGACCAAAGAUGAAUGGGCUUCCAAGGAAGAAGAAACAAUUCAGCCACCCAUCUUUUUUGGGGGCUUCUUGUGCGACAGUCCAAAAAGACAUUCUAUCCUCUAUUAAAGUCAAAGUUCUAAUCUUGUGGCCACUAGCUGCUGUUGGGAUGAAUGCCUAACCUCUGAUUGGCCUGUUUUGGAAACAUCACCCUUUAUACCUGGAAAUUCCACAACAGGCUUUAUAUACCCAAUAAUUAACUAUAUUUGAGAAGGGGACACCUAUGGCAAGAAGCCUUGAAAGUGAUCCAGGCAUCAGUAAAGCAAACCUUGU
rnacentral:lncRNA from 1 species